AACGAACGCUGGCGGCAUGCCUAACACAUGCAAGUCGAACGAGACCUUCGGGUCUAGUGGCGCACGGGUGCGUAACGCGUGGGAACCUGCCCUUAGGUUCGGAAUAACUCCCCGAAAGGGGCGCUAAUACCGGAUAAUUUCUUCGGACCAAAGAUUUAUCGCCUUUGGAUGGGCCCGCGUUGGAUUAGCUAGUUGGUAGGGUAAAAGCCUACCAAGGCGACGAUCCAUAGCUGGUCUGAGAGGAUGAUCAGCCACACUGGGACUGAGACACGGCCCAGACUCCUGCGGGAGGCAGCAGUGGGGAAUAUUGGACAAUGGGCGAGAGCCUGAUCCAGCAAUGCCGCGUGAGUGAUGAAGGCCUUAGGGUUGUAAAGCUCUUUUACCCGGGAUGAUAGUGACAGUACCGGGAGAAUAAGCUCCGGCUAACUCCGUG
rnacentral:rRNA from 1 species